GACGAACGCUGGCGGCGUGCUUAACACAUGCAAGUCGAACGAGUGGCGAACGGGUGAGUAAUACGUGGGUAACCUGCCCUCUCAUUGGGAUAAGCUUUGGAAACGGGGCCUAAUACCGAACAAAGGGGGAUGGGCUCGCGGCUUAUCAGCUUGUUGGUGGGGUAAUGGCCUACCAAGGCGGUGACGGGUAGCCGGCCUGAGAGGGUAACCGGCCACAUUGGGACUGAGAUGCGGCCCAGGCUCCUACGGGGGGCGGCAGUGGGGGAUAUUGCACAAUGGGCGAAAGCCUGAUGCAGCGACGCCGCGUGAGGGAUGAGGGCUUUCGAGUUGUAAACCUCUUUCGCUAUCGAAGGGUAGGUGGAGAGGAAGCGCCGGCUAACUACGUGCCAGCAGCCGCGGUAAUAC
rnacentral:rRNA from 1 species